GGAAUGACUUAUUUGUGUUGUCUGAAUGAGAAAUGUAUGUCCCUAACGUCAAAACUGCUUCUUUGAUUGCACAUAGGCGGGAAUUUUCCCUCCUUGCUCCCUUAACUCAAAUUUAACAUGUACAUGAUCAGACAACUCAAUUUCAUACAUGCGUUGUGUGAAAAAGUUAAAAAAAAAAAAAAAAAAAACCCCGCCUUUAGUUAGGGCCUUAGUGACUUUGUCUCCCCACUCGGCUUGCACAAAGUAACUCUGCCUUCAGGCCCUUCUUCUUGUUCGUGUCUAUCUCUUUAGAAGCCAACCAUUUCCUCUCUCAUCUCUCCUCACCUGCAAACCAAAAAGGAAGAAACCCAAAGUUUUGAUUCUAAGCAACAUCACCACGAAGCCCCACUCUCCUCUCUCUCUCUCUCUCUGUGUCUCUCUCCGGAACUGCGGCACGACGCCUUUUCUUUCUUCUACGGUGACGCCGUGAUGGACUGACGUCUUCAAGUCUGGGUUUGGCUCGAACUCUACUAGGUGAAGCAGCUUCGAUUUCAGUUUUCGACUCAAUUUCGGAAACUUCAAGCUUGGUGGUGUGGUUGAAGGUUGAAUUAUGCAAGCUGCUGGUGGAUAAAAGAUCUGCUGAACUCAAGCCAAAUGACUUCCAUGAUAUUCCCAAAUACUUUCUUGAGGUAAUGCAACGAGUGUAUAUGAAAUAUUGA
rnacentral:lncRNA from 1 species